GACGAACGCUGGCGGCGCGCUUAACACAUGCAAGUCGAGCGAGAACCAGGGCUUCGGCCCUGGGGAAAGCGGCGAACGGGUGAGUAACACGUGAGUAACCUGUCCUCGGCACCGGGAUAGCCCGGGGAAACCCGGAUUAAUACCGGAUGGCCUUUCGAGUCUUCGGGCUCGUCAGAAAAGGUAGCUUCGGCCUCCGGCCGAGGAGGGACUCGCGGCGGAUUAGCUUGUUGGUGAGGUAACGGCUCACCAAGGCGACGAUCCGUAGCUGGUCUGAGAGGACGAUCAGCCACACUGGGACUGAGACACGGCCCAGACUCCUACGGGAGGCAGCAGUGGGGAAUCUUGCGCAAUGGGCGAAAGCCUGACGCAGCGACGCCGCGUGCGGGAAGAAGGCCUCGG
rnacentral:rRNA from 1 species